rnacentral:rRNA from 1 species
AACGAACGCUGGCGGCAUGCCUAACACAUGCAAGUCGAACGAGACCUUCGGGUCUAGUGGCGCACGGGUGCGUAACGCGUGGGAACCUGCCCUUAGGUUCGGAAUAACUCCCCGAAAGGGGUGCUAAUACCGGAUAAUGUCUUCGGACCAAAGACUUAUCGCUUUUGGAUGGGCCCGCGUUGGAUUAGCUAGUUGGUAGGGUAAAAGCCUACCAAGGCGACGAUCCAUAGCUGGUCUGAGAGGAUGAUCAGCCACACUGGGACUGAGACACGGCCCAGACUCCUACGGGAGGCAGCAGUAGGGAAUAUUGGACAAUGGGCGAAAGCCUGAUCCAGCAAUGCCGCGUGAGUGAUGAAGGCCUUAGGGUUGUAAAGCUCUUUUACCCGGGAUGAUAAUGACAGUACCGGGAGAAUAAGCUCCGGCUAACUCCGUG